AGGACGCCAAGAAAGACGAGUCCGUCCGAAAGUCCUACAAGUACCUGGCCGCCCUGCACGAGAACUGUAAUCAGCUGAUCCGAACCAUCGAGGACACGGGAACGAUCCUCAGAGAGAUCCGAGACCUGGAGGAGCAGAUCGAGACAGAAAACGGGAAC